rnacentral:tRNA from 1 species
AGCUUUGGGGUGUGACACACCGGAUUGCAAAUCUGGAGAAGCAGGCUAAAAAUCUGCCGGGGCUU